GAGCUAUCACCAUCAUCAUCAUGAGUAUUUUUCCGUUGAGCCCAGUUCACAGAGCAGCACUGCAACUGCAAGUGGCUUGCCACCCUGUUUUGCUAAUUCACAAGCAGAACCUGGUUAGCAGCUGCAUGAUUUAAUUGUCACAACUCAAAACAAUGCAUUUUAUAGGACAUCUUCAAAUGAAGAUGUGGCUUAACCACCAGUACCCUCAAAGCAGCAGUACCCUCAUUUCUUUAGCCAGAUUGCGUUAGAAUCAAUCUCAGAGCAUGUAACAGCAAACAUUUUCUGGGGGAGUGCCCCCACCCCCAUUGGUAAUUCGUUCAUCAAGCACCCCCCUAUCUCAAAUCCUGGCUACGCCCCUGGUAAGCUUGUACUUUUUUGUGAUUGAAUUCUGCUUAUCUCACAGACUACUGCCUUUGACAAAGGUUUGCUCCCACUUGAUCAGUAUGCAUUAUUAACUGUGGACACCCCUUUGCUUUGAAACAAUCAAAGCACAUUGUAAAUUAUUUACCUCUUCUAUAACUACUUUUGAGCGAAAGCAAAAACAUGGCGAGAGGCUUGCAACACUCGUUGCAGCUGGUAUCCAUCAUUAUUAAGUGCGAAAGACGUUGUGUUCACGCUAGGGAAUGUGGAUGAAGCAGUGCUAGAAGAAGUACUACUUUUUGUUCUCAUCCAAGUCAUGCUUGUAAGUAUCCCGGGUGUAAGAGUGUCAUGGUUCUAGAUGGAAACAUAAAGAACCAUCGUGAUGUCUGUAAGGCUAGAGAUGCAGGCUAUACUGAGUACGAGGGACUUCCAGGAUCUAUUAAGACCGGGUGCAUGAAUACACCUUCUGUAAAAUACACCAAGUACGAAUUUGUGGUACAAAUAAUACACUGGACACAGAUGCUACCGCCCCUCCUGUCAGUGCAACAUAUAGUGAAGUAGUGGAGAGGAUUUUAGAGAAAAGGACUACAAGAAAUGCCAAUUACUACAAGAUACUAUGGGUAGGAAAGGAAGAAGUGUCUGCAUCUUGGGUACACGAAGACAUCAUUCCCCAAUCAGCCGUCACUGAAUUUCAAAGUGGUAUCAUGCCAGAAGUCCAUAUAGACGAAGAAUCGAGCUGUAAUCAGCUAUCGUUUACAGCUAAUGUGCAUGUCAGCUCAAACCAAGAAGAAAACAACAGUGUUGGAUAUCACUUAGCAACUCUGGAUAGUGCUCUGCUUCAAACUGAAGGUCUGAGCUGCAAUACAGAAAAGGACAAAGGAAAGAAGCUUAAUUAAUUAUCAUACAGCAGGGAUUAUAGCUGGGAUUUGGCCUUGCGGAGUUAUCACCAUGUUGUCAGAACUGUUCGUAGCUAAAUCCAAGAGCCAACUACUAUAGACGAAACUCAUCACAUCUAUUAACUCUGAAUUAUAUCUGCUGACGAUGGUUGCCAUUUACGAAAGUUUGCCAGAAAUCCUUCUAGGAAGGACCUCACUCAAACCGCCAAGGAACUAGCUACCCUGGAGAUAGUAGUCGACAAAAUGCACAUGGGUCACGUGGAUACAAAGUGCCAAGAGAAUUGUGAUGCUCGGAGGUUUGUGGAUCUGGAUGAAGUCGACACGGAGGUUUGUGAACAAACAUUUGCCUGCAUGGCUGUCAAGGUACAAGAAGAUAUCAAGGAAGAUGAACAGGCACCACUUCAUGUUUUAUUUGUUGUACAUUUGCAACUUGCACAACCAGAGCAAAAUUAAUCAACUCUGGCUUUUUCGUGCAUACAACUACGUAAUCGUUUUACAGUUACCUUUGAUAAUAUUAUCCAUGCAUGUG